UCUACGGGAGGCUGCAGUGAGGAAUAUUGGUCAAUGGCCGGAAGGCUGAACCAGCCAAGCCGCGUGAAGGACGAAGGUGCCAAGCAUUGUAAACUUCUUUUGUCAAGGGACAAAAUCAGGCUCGAGAGCCUGACCGAGGGUACUUGAAGAAAAAGCAUCGGCUAACUCCGUGCCAGCAGCCGCGGUAAUACGGAGGAUGCGAGCGUUGUCCGGAUUGAUUGGGUUUAAAGGGUGCGUAGGCGGACUGUUAAAGCAGGGGUAAAAGCCCGGGGCUCAACCCCGGCGAGCCGUUGAAACUGGCUGUAUUGAGAUGUCGAGAGGUAUGCGGAAUGCGCAGUGUAGCGGUGAAAUGCUUAGAUUGUGCGCAGAACUCCGAUUGCGAAGGCAGCAUACCGGCGGCGAUCUGACGCUGAGGCACGAAAGCGUGGGUAUCGAACAGGAUUAGAUACCCGUGUAGUC
rnacentral:rRNA from 1 species